rnacentral:rRNA from 1 species
UAACACCUGGAAACAGAUGCUAAUACCGGAUAACAACAGAUGAUGCCUAUNCAACUGUUUAAAAGAUGGUUCUGCUAUCACUCUUGGAUGGACCUGCGGUGCAUUAGCUAGUUGGUAGGGUAACGGCCUACCAAGGCGAUGAUGCAUAGCCGAGUUGAGAGACUGAUCGGCCACAUUGGGACUGAGACACGGCCCAAACUCCUACGGGAGGCAGCAGUU